rnacentral:rRNA from 1 species
UACGUAGGGGGCAAGCGUUGUCCGGAAUCAUUGGGCGUAAAGAGCGUGUAGGCGGCCCGGUAAGUCCGCUGUAAAAGUCCAGGGCUCAACCCUGGAAAGCCGGUGGAAACUGUCGGGCUAGAGUCCGGAAGAGGCGAGUGGAGUUCCUGGUGUAGCGGUGAAAUGCGCAGAUAUCAGGAGGAACACCAAUGGCGAAGGCAGCUCGCUGGGACGGUACUGACGCUGAGACGCGAAAGCGUGGGGAGCAAACAGG